rnacentral:rRNA from 1 species
CAGAGGGGGCAAGCGUUGUUCGGAAUUACUGGGCGUAAAGGGCGCGUAGGCGGCCUUCUAAGUCGAACGUGAAAUCCCCGGGCUCAACCCGGGAACUGCGUCCGAUACUGGAAGGCUCGAAUCCGGGAGAGGGAUGUGGAAUUCCAGGUGUAGCGGUGAAAUGCGUAGAUAUCUGGAGGGACACCGGUGGCGAAGGCGACAUCCUGGACCGGUAUUGACGCUGAGGCGCGAAAGCCAGGGGAGCAAACGGGAUUAGAUACCCCGGUAGUCCUGGCCCUAAACGAUGAAUGCUUGGUGUGGCGGGUAUCGAUCCCUGCCGUGCCGAAGCUAACGCAUUAAGCAUUCCGCCUGGGGAGUACGGUCGCAAGGCUG